CUGAAAAUGGAAAAAUGAAUCAACUUCCUGUCCCGCCUACGAAAAGUCGUGCAUGACGGCUGUGCUCGCCAGAUGCUCGUGCACGACUACUGUCCUGACUGGCACCUGUCCGGCAGUGACGUGACCGUCAGUAUUAUUCACGCGGACAUGGAAGAUACAGUAAGUAUCCCCUAAAUUAAGUUCAAGUCUCUGCACAACAGUGACCACCAUAAUAGAUACAUAAUUAAUUACACGAUGUUGACGAUAUAAUACUAUAUUUCCAUCAGUUAUUUGUGCUAUGGGGGGUUAUAUUGUGUUAUUUUUAAAAAAUAUAUAUUUCGAAUUGUACAGCAUAGCAUAAAUGCUACUACUAGCUAACUAGAUUUUGCAUGUACACAGUUGGCGAUGGCAAUGAAACUCAUAUAAAUAAUUGUUGAUAUGUAUAGAGUGCUGAUACAUCCUUGGGAGAGGAGUCUGGGGCCGGGCCCUCCACCUCGUCCAGGUCCAGAGGCCGUGGUCGUGCACGAAACCGGAGCCGGUCCACCAGGCGCAGGGGGGAUCUCCUCAGUCAGGAGGACGUGAGGAGGAUCAACAACCUGCGCACUGAAAGGCUUGUGCACGGACGGAAAAAUUCGACGCCUUUCCCUUGAUCAGGCCCACGAAGUAAUGGAUGAGUGCUAAGCUGAAAAUCCAGGCCUUAUUUUUAACAUUUUGCGGCGCCUGCGAGACCCAUCUCACCCUCCUGGUGUGUGUGUGGGAGGUGUCGGGAGAUGCCCACCCUGGUUGAGCAGAAGUGCUGCAGCAAGGUCAGCUGUGUGACGAUACUGCCUGAAAUGGAGGCCUAUGUGCUGGACCAGGGUGGGCUCUCCUUAGCCCGCGUACUAUGGAAUGACCUGCGGGUCCUGGUGGAGGAAGACCACGACCGGGAGAACACCAGGCAAUUCCGCCCUGCGGCCUACCGCCAGUACAUUGCCUGGACGAGAGGGACACUGGGUGCAGGGCGCAGAGUGGUCAUCCCAAGUUGCUGCCUGUGGGCAAUAAGGGACAGGUUCCCUGAGCCGGAUGGGCAAUACCGGGGCUUUGUUCCCAGGAGGGUGUAAAUAAUUGUUAAGUGUUAAUAAUUGUUAUUACUAUUCCUCUUGUUAUUGAGCAUUAAAAUAUUGUUUGGUUAAUAUUUUGUUUCUAUCCUUAUUUGCACACAACAGUUUUAUAAAUUAUCUACAUAUGAAACAAGUGAAUAGCAAUUCAUUCUCUCAUUGUCAUCGGAUUAUAGUACCCUGUAACUCACUUUACAUUCAUAUUACUUUCAUAUUCUUCAGUAAUGAUUCAACACAUUAUGGUGAACAAGUUUUAAUGAAGUGUCAUGGCAACAGAGACGUUCUUAAUGCAGAGACGGCCAACUCGACGUUCCUUCCUGUUUCACUUAUGAGUCCGACCACGCCCCUUUAGGAGACCUGAUAGGAGACUUUGAUAAUGGGCGCCUACGGAGAAAUCGGACUUUUCCACGGAUACAUACCAAUCCCCAAAUCAUGGUCGGCGUGAUGGACGUAUAAAUGGCAUGUCAUGGGAGUCCCACGUCUUCUUCACUAUCUAAAAAGUUGAAUUACAGUUAAAAAUGUAAUAAACGCUGAGAAAAUUGACUUUG